rnacentral:rRNA from 1 species
UACGAAGGGGGCUAGCGUUGUCCGGAAUCAUUGGGCGUAAAGCGCGCGUAGGCGGCCCGGUAAGUCCGCUGUGAAAGUCAGAGGCUCAACCUUUGAAAGCCGGUGGAUACUGGAUGGCUAGAGUACGGAAGAGGCGAGUGGAAUUCCUGGUGUAGCGGUGGAAUGCGCAGAUAUCAGGAGGAACACCAAUAGCGAAGGCAGCUCGCUGGGACGUUACUGACACUAAGGCGCGAAAGC